AGGAGUAUCUUCCUGCCUCCUAGGCCCUUGCCCUGUCCUCAGCAAGUCUUCUGUGGACUUUUGGCUAUGGUCACCUCAAAUCGAAAAUACUAUCGGUGCCUCUUGCUGAACUCAAGCUCUGGAGUGGCUCGCAGAGGAACCAGAGAUGUCAACAGGUCCUGCCUCCUAAAAGCACAUUCAACCAUGGACUCAUCAGUGAUUAAUCCAUUGAAGAGUAGUAUGGGUGAUGAUGAUGAUGAUGAUGAUGAUGAUGAUGAUGGUGACUUUGGCAUUGGCUAUGAGAGCCAAACUUCCUGUGACAACAAAAUGGAGCAAGAAUUGACUGAUACAGACACAGGAAAUGCAGACCUCCUUGAUUCAAAUGUCGAAGAAAAUAGCAACUAGGAAGCUCCUGACAAAACAGGAAGAGAAGAGAGGUGACAAGAAUGGCCUGCCACAUAGGAAAGGAAAGCUAAGCACAUGUGCAUGGAACAU
ensembl:lncRNA